rnacentral:rRNA from 1 species
GCUUCCUUCGGGGAGAGCGGCGGACGGGUGAGUAACGCGUGGGAAUUUGCCUUGGGGUACGGAAUAACGCAUGGAAACGUGCGCUAAUACCGC